GUUUAAAGUGAGAGAGGGAGAGAGAGGUGGGAAGAGACUGGAAGACAGACAGAGAGAGCUGGAGAGAGAGAAACAAAGAGAGAAAGACAGCAGUGCAAAUGUACUUAGACUUGAGUAUUUCAACAACUCUUCCAACUUGUUAGGCAAUCAUUUGUACUUAUGGGAGAAGGAUGGCCAGCCACAAAGGAGGGCGAUUUUUUUUACUAAGGAAGAGAAAGAGGUAGUGCUGACUGAGAUGAAUGCUGGCCAAUUUGGAGUGAAACGCAUGAUUGCCAAAUAAAUCUGUUUCUUCUGACAGAGAAUUAUCAAGGUGGACAGCUGGGCAAGUGAAAUAACCUUUUGUUUAUCAAUCACAUUCUAUCUGAAAUGAUUACGAUUUCAAUGAAUGUCAUAUCAGAGAGCACACAAUGUUUAAAUGUCACUUUUUGCUUAAAAAAGGUCAGUACCCUGACUAGUCUGCCAGAAGUUUGAAAGGGCAAAGACUGUGGCAUCGGAGUUGAAGCCCAUCAAAGUUGUUUCACCAUGGCGUAUGAUCGAGGUGGAUCUCAACGGACCCUUCACAAAAUCCAGGAAUGGCAACAGCUGGUGUCUGACGGCAACCAAUCACUUUAUCAAGUGGGUGGAGGCAAAACCCAUAAAGGACGAGACUGGCGAGGCCACCUCCAAGGCGAUGAACAUCUUCAACACCCACGGUUCUCCAGAGGUCAUCUUGAGUGACCGAGGUCAUGAAAGCUGGAACAAGCAUCCAGGCCUCCACUGAGUACGGACGGAAGCCACAGCUGUUGACUGAGGUAAACAAUGCAAUUGGUUUGGAAGAAGGACAAAAGGAAGGAGAGGCCUGGGAAACUUCGCUGCUCUUUCGCUCCUAGCUGGGGUCACCAUCUGUUAAGGGUUACCUCAGUGGAAGCAAACAAUCUUCUCCAGUUGGAGCAGUUGGAGUGUUUGCUUGUUUACGUCCCUGUCUCCUACCCUGUUCCCUUUAACUCUGCUCCUGUUCUCCAGGACCUAGGGGUUCUGCCCAACAUCCAGACAUGGAUCCACCUGACGUCCUCAUUACCAAUCACCCUUCAACGUUUCAUUACAUCAUCUACAGCUACUGUUAUUGUCAUUAUCUGCUAAGAACGUUUUCUUGCUCUAACAUACUGGGCACAUAAUUAUGUGAGAUACACAAAUUAACUAAAAACAUUAGCACUGCAAACACUCAGAACAAAGAGAGCAGUGCUUGGAUUUUGGAAGUCUCCCUCUUCAAGUCCACCUUCUGAAGCUGGCUGCCUGUUGAGAACAAGUGACAGGCAGAAACCUCCACCCACACAGCAACCACCUCGUCAAUAUGCCACACA